CAUAAGUAAAAAAUUUUCUUUAAUAUAUAUGUCUUAAAACUAUACAUUUGAUGUUUUAAAUAGAAAAGAAAUACAGGGAUUAAAUUUGCAUUUGCCUUAAUAAAGAAAUAUCUACUUUCUAGGUUAGAGUGACAUUUAAAUACCAAAAAAUAGAUCAUGGAUUCUGAUAGAUACAGUGGUCUGGUAAAGUGAAAGAAAAUAUACCUGUGUGACUUUGGCAGAAUUAUUCUAUGCUCCUCUUAAAGUCUUGGGUUAAAGUCCACAAACAUGGAACAUCACCGCCCUCUUGGAGUUCUGCUGCAGAGGACAACUGUAUGGCAGUUUAAAGAAGCCAGCCCCCCGUCAACAAGAGUACUGUCACCUUAGGAAUGAAGUAGUUAUAAGGUGCAAGAUGUAUGAUUUAUACUCCUAUUUCAUACCCAAGUGAAAGGUAAGCAUCCUCUCUUCCUUCUGAAGUUCACUAGGGAUUCUUCAGUUCACAUAUACAAACAAUUAGAAUCAAUGAUAGAAGUAUGAUAAAAAUAGCUAACCUUAGGUGAGUGCUUCUUAUAAGCCAGGCAUUGUUCUAUGCCCUUUUCAGGUAUUAGCUUUUUGGUCUUCACAACAACUCAGUGAAAAAGGAGUUGUGAUUAUCUACUUUCCUAAAUGCCCUAAUUUGCAGAGCUGCUACGUGAGGGAGUCUUUGUUCAGAGCGAGGCAAUGACUGCAAGAGCCUGGGAUCUCCCACCACAGCGCUGCCAUGCCUCCAGCCCUGGCCACUGAAUGGGUCCUCCACUCCUCAGCCACUAGCCCAAGCGGCAAGGGUGAAGUCGACUGUGGUCCUUCAUGUCACGUGAGUGACUCAGUAGUGCUGUGAAGUCAACCACAUGGGGAGAUGAGGAAACUCACAGGGACAGAAGAGAAGACUACGGUCUGGGAAAGUUGAGCAGCUUGCUUGAGCUCACCCAGGGUGGAGUGGCUGAACACAGAUUUGAAAUCACCCACUGAGGCUCUGGGCCCUUUUCCCAGUGCUCUUUUCCUGUGUGUAUCUCUCCCACCUCCCGCAGUCUCAGCCACACAGGAAUACUGCCUGCCCGAGCCCAAGCCAUCGAUAAUGUUAACACUGGUAGAAUCAAGAUAAUACAAUCUACAGGCAGAUCUCCACAUCAGUACAGCUACUGUCAGGUGACAUAGCAACAUAGCACCUCUGUCUGUAAAAUUAAGUUCCCCAGGAGCAAAGGAAAACACUGGUCACUUGUAUAUACUCUACAGCUUGGUAGAAUUGGCCUCAUGAUGGGUGAUGGAGUCAAACUUCUGCAUUUUCAAGUCUCCUGAACUUUAUCUAGUUGACCACUAGCUCAGCCUUUUUACAGUGCCCUGAAAUUUGCCAUGCUUGGCAAUGAUCUCAGAGGGACUUUUGACGUUUUUUGUGGUCAUUGUUUUUAUAUCUGAGAAAAAAUAAAAUUUUCCUAAUUCGAAUUAUUCUGUACCCAUUGCCCAAUAAAAUAAAG